GAUGAACGCUGGCGGCGUGCCUAAUACAUGCAAGUAGAACGCUGAAGGAAGGAGCUUGCUCUUUCCGGAUGAGUUGCGAACGGGUGAGUAACGCGUAGGUAACCUGCCUGGUAGCGGGGGAUAACUAUUGGAAACGAUAGCUAAUACCGCAUAACAGUAGAUGUUGCAUGAUAUCUACUUAAAAGGUGCAAUUGCACCACUACCAGAUGGACCUGCGUUGUAUUAGCUAGUUGGUGAGGUAACGGCUCACCAAGGCGACGAUACAUAGCCGACCUGAGAGGGUGGUCGGCCACACUGGGACUGAGACACGGCCCAGACUCCUACGGGAGGCAGCAGUAGGGAAUCUUCGGCAAUGGACGGAAGUCUGACCGAGCAACGCCGCGUGAGUGAAGAAGGGUUUCGGAUCGUAAAGCUCUGUUGUAAGAGAAGAACGAGUGUGAGAGUGGAAAGUUCACACUGUGACGGUAGCUUACCAGAAAGGGACGGCUAACUACGUG
rnacentral:rRNA from 1 species